rnacentral:piRNA from 1 species
AUUGGCUAUGGUAGUGGUGGU